UCCGAAGCAGGCUCCAGGCUCUGAACUGUCAGCACAGAGCCCGACGCGGGGCUCGAACUCACGAACCGCGAGAUCAUGACCUGAGCCGAAGUCGGGCGCUUAACUGAGCCACCCAGACGCCCCUAAAGGGUGCUUUUCUGAUCUUCCUUGGGAGUGACUCACACCUCCAAGCCUGCCUGUCCCAAGCAAUGAGGGGGCGUCUGCACACUCAUUACACUCCAUUCUGCCUGGGGCCCCUUCUUUGGUCUUGGGGCAUGGGGAUGAAAAUUAAGAUUCCCUGAGACUUUGGGCUGACCCCACACUCAGGCCAAGUCCAUGCUACCCCUCAUUCCAAACGAUCCUCCCAGCCUCCCAGCCCAGCUCUGUCAGGUGCAUCCACUGCCUGCCACCUGUGCGGCAUCAGAAUCCCUUGGGAGCUCAGCCCAUUACCAGGGUCAGCUAUUUGAGAAGCACGCGGAUCAGGCCUUAUUUUCCUCAGGAGGCCUUUGUGCACGUGUAAAAACGUAACACACCUACGAGUACUCCUUUCUCUGGCCCGUUAGAGUUUACAAAGUGACUUCAUAUAAAUGAGCUCACUGGUUCCUUGUAGCAGUUCUGUGACACUUUGUGGACGCGGCUCACCAAUACAAUUAUGUGACUUGACCAGGUCAGACAGCCAGUUGGGCCUCCUUGCCCCAGGCAUACCUACUAACCUAAAUGGGUUAUUAGAUUGGCCAGCUGGAACCUCGGGGCAGCGGGGAGGGGAGAGGCACGAGGUACUCAGCACCCACUGGGGCCAGUCCUGCAACAGCAAUCAACGAAUACAUGGGGAGGGAGAGGGGGGCUGCCCACAGGUCCCCUACAACUAGAGCUGGCGGGAACAGGCCUCCUGAUGGGUCCCUUUUGUCAAGUCUUAGUCAAGGGAAGUCUUGUCUUCGCCGAACCUUAGAUGUGGUGGGUGGAGCCACGGAGAAGUCUGGCAAAAAGCGGGGGCCAGGACCUCUCCCGAGAAGCAAAGGUUGAGGGUGACCACGCCUACCUGGGAGGAAGGUGGGUACCGGCCUAGUCCCAGCUCUGUGCAUUCUGGGGCGGGUCACCCCCAUUGCAAGCCCCCAGCUCCUCAUCUGCUAGGAGGUGGCCCUUUCCAAGGGCUUCCUGACCCGGCAAUCAGUGGGUAACUGCCGGCUGGCGUUCUCCCUCGGAUCGUUAGGUGUUGGGCGACUGGUAGACAAUUGAAUUGUCCACGACUUGCUCUUACAAGCCAUGCUGUAGAGAAAUGGUAACAAUGGAGCACCACAAAGCCCAGGGUUUGGUCGAGGCUGCCAGAUGGCCCUCCAGAUGCAGUUGUCCAAAUUUGCACCCUCACCAGCAGGUGUAUGAAAGGCCCUUUUCCCCACAUUCCUGCUGCAUCGGGCGGGGUUCUUCAGAGAAGGAGAGCCAAUAGGAUACAGAGAGAGAAAGAGAGCGAUUUCUAGUAAGGAAUGAGCUCAUGUGAUUGUGGGGUCUGGCAAAAUCCAAAAUGCUGGCGGCCGGCAGCUUAGGCAAAAGAUGAUGUUGCAGUCUCGAGUCUGAAAUCUGUAUGGCGAGUCACCUGUCCGGAAAUUCAGACGGGAUUUCUGUUACAGUCUUGAAGCAGAAUUGCUUCUUCUGGAAACCUCAGUGUUUGCUCUUAAGACCUGCACCUGAUUGGAUGAGGCCCACCCACAUUAUCAAGGGUAAUCGCUAAAGCCAGUUGAUUGUAGAGGUUAAUCACAUCUACAAUAAUACCAUCACAGCAGCAUCUGGCCUAGUGUUAGACCAGGCACCGUAACACCUAGCCGACCUGACACAUAAAAUUAACCAUCGCACCUGCUGUCGCUGGAUAUCAUGGUAUGGUGUUUGCCAUUUUGACCUUGAGAAACAGUAAAGCAUUCUAGGGAUUACUCUCAGACAUCAACUGUUGACUGUAGCCAAGUGAUGGCUGGUUGUUCCUGUUUCCCUCCCCUGCCCCCACCCCAUUUCCUCUCUACCCUCCUCUGCCCUGCUCUGUGCCCCAGGAUACCCAACCUGUGGAUCGGCCUCGCCUGGGUUCCUUCACCUCUGGCUCAGGCCAGUGAGGAGCACCAGAGAUCAGAGGGCAGGAUGAGAGAGAAUUCCAGGCAUCUAUCCCCACCCCUUGCUGCUUGCAGACCACACCUCUGCAUUGGCUUCCUUUCUCCAAGCACCAGACCUCCUCGGGCCCCUAGACCACUAUUUCCUCUUCCUGCCACUUCUGCCCUAGCCUCUCGGUGUCACUGGCCCUCUGGUUCCCUUAAUCCCGCUCCCACCUCUGUAAAUAAGCCAUACUUUCAUUAAAGGCACUCCGUGUUGAGUCGA